ACCCUGUAGAACCGAAUUUGUGUUAGCAGUUUGUAAUCACAAAUUCGUCUCUGAGGGAGU
rnacentral:pre_miRNA from 1 species